UGGGGAAUAUUGCACAAUGGGCGAAAGCCUGAUGCAGCGACGCCGCGUGAGGGAUGACGGCCUUCGGGUUGUAAACCUCUUUCAGCAGGGAAGAAGCGAAAGUGACGGUACCUGCAGAAGAAGCGCCGGCUAACUACGUGCCAGCAGCCGCGGUAAUACGUAGGGCGCAAGCGUUGUCCGGAAUUAUUGGGCGUAAAGAGCUCGUAGGCGGUUAGUCGCGUCUGCUGUGAAAACUCGAGGCUCAACCUCGGGCUUGCAGUGGGUACGGGCUGACUAGAGUGCGGUAGGGGUGACUGGAAUUCCUGGUGUAGCGGUGGAAUGCGCAGAUAUCGGGAGGAACACCGAUGGCGAAGGCAGGUCACUGGGCCGCAACUGACGCUGAGGAGCGAAGGCAUGGGGAGCGAACAGGAUUAGAUACCCUGGUAGUCCAUGCCGUAAACGUUGGGCACUAGGUGUGGGGUCCAUUUCCACGGAUUCCGUGCCGCAGCAAAGCGCAUUAAGUGCCCCGCCUGGGGUUAGUACGGCCGCAAGGCUAAAACUUAAAGGAAUUGAC
rnacentral:rRNA from 1 species